UACGUAGGGUGCGAGCGUUGUCCGGAAUUAUUGGGCGUAAAGAGCUCGUAGGCGGUCUGUCGCGUCGGAUGUGAAAACUCGGGGCUCAACCCCGAGCCUGCAUUCGAUACGGGCAGACUAGAGUUCGGUAGGGGAGACUGGAAUUCCUGGUGUAGCGGUGAAAUGCGCAGAUAUCAGGAAGAACACCAAUGGCGAAGGCAGCUCUCUGGGACGUGACUGACGCUGAGACGCGAAAGCGUGGGGAGCAAACAGG
rnacentral:rRNA from 1 species